CACCUGCAGCAUACGGAAGUUGCCAGGCCAGGGACUGAAUACAAGGUGCAGCUACGAGCUAUGCUGUGGUUGCACCAAUGACGGAUCCUUUAACCCACUGCACCCGUGCCUCUGCAGUGACCCAAGCCACAGUUAGAUUCUUAACCCACUGCACCACAGCGGGAACUCCAGGCCCAAACCUCUUGAAUGCCCACAUUCCUCACCUUGCUGGACUCCUGCAGGCCAGUGGCCAGGGCCUGUCCUAGGUAGGCCCAGCCACCUCUUGCCCUAGUCUCUGUCUAGACAAAGACUGUACAGAAUCCACAUGGCACACACUAGAAUUGAGGCAGGUUGUUGUGGUCCGGGGCCCUGCAGGGAACUCAGGAGGUCACUGGGGUCGCCACGAGGGAGACCUAGGGGGUGGGGUGUCCAGCCUCAGCCCAACAGGGUCACCCUGAGAAUUGGGUGGCGGGGGAGGGAGGUGGGGAAAGCCCCUGCAGGCACACACAGGGGACCACGAAUGUCUGGGGCGGGGAGAGGAAGACGCACAGAGGUGCCAGGGUGGAGGGGUUGGCCUUGUUCUCUGGCCCCCUCUGGGUACAGUCAACUUUAAGGCGCCCAUCACUCCAACGUGGGAGGGGGCUGCCCGCCGAAGAGUUCCUCCCUUGGGAAGAAGCUGAAGCUUUAGACACUCCCUCCUCCAUCCAGCUGGAGGGAACACAGCUGAAGGGCCUGGGCAAAUCUCACCCUCUGGGCCUCAGUUGCUUCAUCUGCACAGCGGGCCCAAGAGUGUCCCUGGAGCGUGAUGGAAAAAGCUUUUAGGUUCAGAGGUUUUCCUUGAGAAAAGGAAGAACGGGACAAAACAUUCCGUGGUCUGUGUUGGCUGGGAGCACUGGAGACCCCGAGGCCAGUGUGGACAGUAGGAGCUGGACAGCAGCUUGGUGGAGUUCUCUGGAAGCCGAGGCCACCCCAGCAGGCCCAGGCAACACACCCUUCCCAGGUACCCACUCUGCGCCAGGACACUGAUCUACCCUAUGCCCCUCACUGUGCAUCUGCCUGUUCCAGGGCUGCCCAGCCAGCUCACUGGGGUCCCUCUCCCCAGCCUGCCCAGGAAGCUGGACGUCUCAGGCGGGUCAGCACUGACGUCAGUAGGACCAGCUGGGCGUGGAGCCCGCCACCUCCGGAACCACCAAUUAAUUAACUUUUUCAAAUUAAUUUCCCAAGCAAAAUUCCAUAAUUACAUCUGUCUCCAUCAGCCUGAGCUGGGCAGGCAAGAGGACCCUGCAAUGAGACGGGAUGUCACUAUACUAGGGGGUGACCCUACCAGCCCCCGGAAGAGGGCAGAGAGGCACUGAGGGUUGGGUUUCACCUGGGCAGCAUGCUUGUCUGGCAUCCUUACGGAUGCUGAAGGGGAGGAGAGGGGACCAAGAGGCCAGAGCCAGGAGGCGGAGGGCUCAGGGAGAUGCACGGCUGCCCAGCUCACCCUGCUCCCCAGCCCCCACCCUGUGCCCCCCAAACCACAGUGGGGCUGGGCAGGGGCCAGGGGCGGCACAGGCACUCGGAGGCUGAGGAGGCCGUGGCUGCGGCGUUCUAAUUUCCCAAGGGGGCUGAGAUUAAUUAGCUCGCACACAGGCGCAGAGAGAGAGAGGAGAGUGGGAACAGGGGCGGAGAGCUGGCUGCUGCUCCCCCCUCCCCGCCUGGCAGGCAGUCAGGCGGCCUUGACAGCCUGGGUGCUCUGAAGGUCAGUGGCCAAGCUGGCUGAGCCAGCACACUGGCACCGUCUCCUUCCCAGAAGCCCUGAGACCAAAGUUGAGGGGGGAGGCCAGUGACCAGGAAGACAGCUGGCGGUGGCCGGUGGGGGGGCCCCACUGGUCAAACCUGUGCCACACACCGUCCUGUCUCAUUCUCACAGCAGUCCGAAGAGGUUGCUCUGCCCAUUGCACAGAUGAGAACACUGAGGCUCAGAGCUGCCUCAAGCGUCACCCAAGCGGUGGAUGGUGAAGAUGAGACUAACAUCCAGGUUGGCCCAACUCUAGAGCCCACCCCAGUCCCCCGGAAGCCGUGCUGGCCUGAGGUCUAUGGGGGCUCUGGGCCUGUGAGUGUCUGUCUGGCUGUGACUUAGCUCUGCCUCAGACAACAUGGGCAGGGCAGACUCUCAGUCAUUUCACAGAUGCAGAAAUGGAGACCAGAAAGGGGAAGUGACCUGCCACACAACACGGGGCCCCAAACCCAGAGAUUCUGCUCCUCCAUUUAAGGCCAGCACCAACCUCCAGCAAAACAAACCCGACUCCGUGGCCUUUAGCCUUUAGCGAGCCCUGGGCAGGGCCAUGUAGCAUCCUGGUCGGGGCGGUGUGGGGGUGUCGCUGUGGCUGCCCCUGUGCAGAGAAGAGGAAGCCACCCCCCAGCUCAAGGGUGCUUUCUUCACUCUCCGCAGGGCUCCCCAGAGAGGAAAGGCGUCCCCAGAAAGGUGGACGUGGGGAGGCAGGUGCCCAUGAACAGCUCUCACAAGCCUAGCAACUGACUUUUCCAGAACCUGUCUGUGGGGAGCGGGCUGGGCCAACUAGGAACAUUAGUCCUUGGGUGGGAUCAUGGGAGAUGGGUCAGGAGUCAGUCCCCAGAGGCACGGGUUCAGGCCACGACAGGGGCCAAGAUGGGUUUUGGAGUCAGGGUUUCUCUCCUGCUCUGCAGCCUCCCGCCUAGGUGACCUCGGACGGGCGGCUUGACCUACCCACGAGGACAGCCCCAGCCCCACCAGGGUCCUGGAGAGGACACAAGGGAGGGUCUCAGCACAAGGCCAGCAUGCACAGCGCUCAGGACAAGCAGGGCUGCCUCGUCAUUCUCACUGUCAUCAUCGGCCAGCGCAAGAAUGGGCGACAAGGGCCGCUCAGGCCAGGGCUGUGGGGGAACCUAGGUUGUGGCCCUGGUGCUGGCCCUGUUCGCCCUGGAGUCUGAGUCAAUCCCUCCUGCCUCAGUUUCCCCAGCCCCUGGUCUGCCCUCUUACUGCAAGAGCAUGGGGAGGCGGGCACACAGCAGGGGUCUGAAAGCUACAAGGAGGGUGACACUUGGUUGUCCUGUUCUGGCCACAGAAAAACCCACCUCGACUUCCUGCCAGCCGUUCCUCCUACCUCCCUGGCCCCCCAGCCCUGCCGGCUCUGUGUCAGCACUUUUUGGGUCUCCCAAGGUCCCAAAAGCUCUUCCCCGUAGGCGUUUACCCAGGUCCUCACUGCCCUGCAAAAGCUACAUUUGCCACCUACAAGUCCCUGCUUGGCUCCAACUUGUGGCCUUGCUGGUGGAAGGUAAGGGACAGAGAAAGUACUGGAACCAUGGUUGGCUCUGUUUCCACCCAUACUAUGAAGCCCCAGGAAUGUCCACCCAAGGACCCCAGGUUCCUCUGCCCUGGCUCCAGUCCCAGCCCUCCCCCGCUCUGUGGCCCCAAGGGCAGCCCCUUCACCCCCACACCUCGCAUUCCCAUCCAGGCACAGCCCUGGAGAAGGCUAAACCCAAGAUAGCGUAAUUAAAGAGUCCUGGCUCUGGGGUACCACUCCUAGGGAAAUGCCAGCUUUGGUGGAGCAGAGAGGUGGGAGAGAGGGCUGGACUCCCUUGUGGCACGGUGAGAACCACACCCCACCAUCUCCUGCAGGUUUUGCAGCUUUAAGACACCGCGAAAAUGCUCACACCCAUUUUAACAGGUAGCAAAACUGAGGUCAGAGGGGUUGGCCGACUGGGCCAUGAUUACACAGCAGGCAGGGGCCAAGCCGGGUUUGGAGCCCAGGUCUGUUCCACUCCGGAGCGCGUGGCUCAGGGGAUAUUCGGUCCUCCUGACCGGCCCCUGCUCUUUGAUUGCCUCGGAUGCCUAGGCCCCUUCUCCUCUCCCAGACCUCUGUCCAGUGCUUUAUGGGGGAGGCGUGUGUGGCCAGGAGAUGGAAGCCAGCCUGGACCUGAGUCCUUACAGCCACCUGCCCCUUGACCCCUGCUAGGCUGUCUCAGUCUUAUGGGCCCAGACUGAUCAGCAGUCUGAGUGUUUGGUGACAUCCAAAGCUCUUCAUGGCCGCGAAGCAUCCCCAUUAAACUCAGCUCUCCAAUCUGCAAAACGGUGUAUUUCUCAGUGUGAAAAAUAGAUACACCCCGCUCCAGGGAAGGCAGGCCCCCUCCCCAACAGGCAGCAGGAGCAUGGAGGCUCCCCGCGGGCCUCCCUCUAAACCCAGCAGCCCAGUCCUUCCUUGUUCUCGGCCGCUUUGUCCCCAUCCUGCAGGCCAGGAGCUAAGUCUGAGUUCUAAGUCCCAGGGUGCUGGUUGCAAGGCAGGAGGGUGGUGACAAGGGGCUUGGACACCGAGAGGACAGAGGAAAGCGGGUGCCAGGAUGAGCAGGGAGGGCGAGCAGACAGACUCCUAGGGCGCAGCCCACCAGAUGAAAGCAGUCUCAUUUCUCCUGAGCCUCUGGCACCCCCAGUCUCCCAAGGACCCGGCCUCCUGAGUUGGGGGAGCAGCUGGCCACUUGGCGCUCCCAGGAAAAUCAAUUCUCCAUGGCUUUCCUUCUCCAGCCUCUCCUCCUCCCGGCUCCUCUGCAUCCCUCCCCCACAGACCUCCAACUGGCUCUGCCUGGGCCAGCGACCCCCACACCGCAGGGCAAUGGGGGUUAACUCUUCCGAGCCAGAGACGUGGGCCUCCUUGCCGAGAGGGCCAAGCCAGCCUGAGGGAUGGGCAAGUGGCUCCCUUCCCGUGCCCACCUUGCAGAAUUCAGCUGACUACACGACCCAGGGCUGGGCCGUCUCGGUGGGCGCCUACACAGGGAGGCAUCUGGGCGGGUGGGGCCCCAACCGUGCUGCAAGUGGGCGAGUGUGUGCCCGGCUGUGUGGGGUCACUGCUCCCGGCCCAGCUCUAUCUGGGUGCGUGCUGGGACCGGAGGGCGACUGCCAGAGCCUGUGACAGCAGACAUGCAACUGCCUCCCUGGAGCCGUGUGCGGGCUCCCAAGGGCACAGCACGCCCAUGUGUGACUGUGCUUGUCCAUCUGCCCAUGUGUGUGCCCGUGUGUGUGUAUGUGUGUGCAUCAGAGGCUGGGGCUGGGUGUCCACAGCGAAGGG
ensembl:lncRNA